rnacentral:lncRNA from 1 species
UCAUUAGGAGACUAAAAUGGAAGAUUGUCAGUUGGAUGUUGCCAGGAAAACUCUAUUCUGAGACUUCGGUAUGAUGGAAAGUUUUGUGUGCAUGUAAAUGCUUUAAACGACAUUGUAGAUGAUUUUUAUUUUAAAUGAGCUCUUUUGGUGCUAAGCCUUUCUCUACAUGGCUUUGCUGAGCUUGGUGCCUUUUAGUGAUAUUUUCUUUUACCUAUAAAAAAUAGUAGAAGAUUAUCAUCAGAGGAACUCUCUUUUUUGUUUGUUUUUGCUUUUCCCCUGGCAUUUGCAAAGCUGAUUAAAACAGCUUAGCAUUGGAGACACCCCCGUAAGGAGCUCGAAAUUGCGAUCAUCAACAGAAAAUAAUCACUAAUUCAACAUAAUUGAAUGCACCGAAUUUUUAGAAACAGCUAUCUGAUUAACUAUCAUGCCUAUGCUAUAUAGACAAUGUAGAUAAAAUUUUAACUGAUAAUCUGAAGUCGGGGGUUGUCCCUUUCAGAUUGCAUGGCAAACACCAGAAAAGGUAGAAUUUCUUACCUUCUGCUGGGGAGAAAAUAUGUCAGCAGCAUAAUACACCCCGCCCGCAGUUAGGCCACUGACUUGACCAAUGCUGUUGAAUAUAACACCGUGAUCAUUUUUAUUAUCGUGAUAGUACACGUAGGGUUUCCCAUUCGGAGUGCAAGUUUUUGCAUGAUCUAGGAGGGCUUGCCACAUCUUCUCUGUCAUGCGUAGAAUCUGCAAUGAACAAACACCCCAUUACCCUUCCUGGUUUAGGGAGUUCAAUCCUAAUUGAGAUUUUUAUGAGCAAAAUCUCACAUUUCUCAGUUUCUCAGAGUCCAUGAAGUGUCGUCGUAAAAACUUUUCCACAUUAUCUAUUCCUUCGUCAAUCAGCCGCUUGUGAAAUGGUCCACCCUUUGCGAUACUUUCCAAUCUCCAGACCUUAUCAUUAGAUGCUGGUGGAUAGUUUUUCUGGGUUGCUAUAAAGUGAAUAGAAGGUGAGAUCCAAAAAAAGCUUCUUGCGCAACUAAAAACUCUUAAAGCUAUUGUAUGAAGAAAUGAAACAGAUUAGCUAAGGAAGAUCUUAUUCCAAACCCAGCCCUGGCCAAAAUUCUCCAGGUGUUUGAAGCUUUUGUAUCCUGCAAGGUGAAGAUAACAAAGUCAGUAAGGUCUCAGUCGCUAUUAGAUUAAUGAGUAGCAGCAAACAUCUUAUAGUCGUUCAAACCUCUUCUGGAAAGGAUCCAUAAGUAAGCUCCUCCGAAGCAGGACAAUUUAUCGCUACAACAGAGCAGACACUAUAUCCUUUUUUUGGUUGGUUAGAAAAAAGCCGACCCUCUUUUUUUUUUUUUUUUUUGGGUCGUAUACAGAAUCGCAAGUAAUAGAAAAAUCUUUCACUGAUGUCGAGCAUCUCGACUAUUACAAACCUGUGAAAUCAAGCUCUUGAGUGGCCAUGUCCAUGAGCUCUUGCAAGUUUAUUUCUGAUGUGGCGGUUGUUAUUAAGAUUGAAAUAAAAAAAUUAAAAAACCUACUUAAGAUUUUUACAUUAGAUAGAUGGAAGGGAGCCAAUAUAAGGAUUGAACUAUACUAAAGAUUUAUGAUUUAACUGUACUUUUUGAAAGGUGCUAGAGUCUAAAACCAUUUUAUGCGACACUGUAAAAGUCAUAUAUACCUUUUGUCCUAUGUUCUUUGACAGAGAAUAAAUGUGUUUUUGCUUCUCGGAUUCGUGUAUUUUUACCAUCACUCGAUGCCACUCUGAGCCCUAUCCUGAACCUUUUGCUUCGAUUCCAGCUGGAAUUGUCAGUAAACAUCAAGUCUUCCAGCUCCCCAACACCUGCCUUUAGCUUUACUUGGAGCUUUCCUUUCAAAAGCGGCCCCUUUCCUUCUCGCUCUUUAACCACGUAUCUAUCAAACUCUUCUGGAGCCCAAUUUUCCUCAUCGUCUCUGUUGAAGUCACCUUCAAGCACAACGACGUCCAACUUGAUGGAGGCCUCUGGCCCUGAUGUAACGACAUCCCCUGUAUCUGCAUCGAUCAACUCAACGGAAAUGCGAGCACCACCCUCUCCUUCUAGUUUCUCCCCAGUAAAUAGAGGAAGGGAGAGUUUGUUUCGAAGUUGAAGCCGUAAGUUUCUUGCAUCAUUCUUCGCUGUAGAUUCACCAUUAGCCCUGCAUUCUCUCGAGAGAACAACCAUUAGCAAUAGGAACGGGUACAGAAGCGGGAAAUUGGAAAAGUAAGUAUAGAGAGAGACAAACUACUAACAAUGAAUGUGCAUUCGUACCUUGCAAGGUGGGGAGAGCGAAUGUUCGCAAGCUCCACUGCUUCCGCCUGGCAAAUAACGCCAACAGCAGAAUUACCGAAGUUGGAGACCUCAAAAAAAAAAAAAAAAAAAAAAAAUGAGGCAGAAGGGAUAUGUCCGAGACAAAGUGCAAAUUCAAUAACUUUGUUUAUCUUACCAGUUUCUGAACAGCAUUCUCCAUUGAGUCCAUUCGUUGCACUAUAUCUUGGAGAGCAUUCCUGAUGUGACUGCACCAUGAAAAUUGACACCGUGAACAAUGGCUGUCUUGUGGACUUAUUCGUAAUAAAUAGGAAAGGUGAGCUUCUCAAUGGCUUGUUCUCUGUGAUUCUUAGAGCUGAAGAUGAAACUGAUCAGACCCAUGUCGAGUGCACCCCAUGAGGAUCCCCAAUUACAGUAUAAAAAGAUGGAUACCCAACUCAUCAAAUGCAUUCCUUUAAUCUAAUGUGACGUAGGGAAGUCAACACAAAGAUGGAAUACAUAUUUAUCCAGUACAUUGAUAAGAGAAGCAAGUAAAGUUAAUUAGUAGCCAUCUCCAUACACUGUCCUUUCAGCAAUUAACAAAAUAAUGUAUGUGCAGGUAUUACACCUUGCCGAACAGAAUCAUGGACUGAUGGCACAUGAUACUUGAUGAUUCUUUUAGUUAGCCACACAACGCAGAUCAAACUUCUGUUAGAGGAAUCAGUUGAUGCAUAUAAGAUAUUGCCAACAAACCAACUGAAUUAUAUUCACCUUUCAAAUUUUUCAGCCAACUGAGAUAUAACACGCUCUGCCUCUUUCCUGACCUGUUCAGCAAAGAGCAAUAGAAUUACAUACACAAGACGUAUUUAUCUCAUUCUAGUUUCACAUCACUGGUAUCUUCAUCGUCCUACUAUGCGCAAACUGUCAUUGACCACAUAUUCCAGGAUUCAAGCAGAUAAUUAAGUCCAGGGCAUUUCCUUUAAAUUUUGUGUAUACUUGUGAUCUGUACUGUCCAAAACAAUAUGAAAAGCCUAAAUCAUGUUCUUCACAAUAAAACCCUAGAAAUUUUCAAACGACAGUUCUCUGUACAUCUUGCAGCAGGUUCUCAUGCAGAUUCUAUCUGGAAACUGACUGGAAGGUCAGAAAUGCAUCCUACCAAUUCUAAUUGAAGAGAUUAUCAGCGAUUAAACAACAAUAAUGACAGUAUUUGUAUCUGUAAGUAGGCUAUAUUAUUUAUCUUACCUCUCUCUGGACAUCCUCCACUGUCAAACAGCUACUCAGCAAAUUGCUCUCAGACCCGUUCCAUACUUGACUGUGUGGAGAUCAGCAACCAAAAAAAAAGGGAAAAGAAAAGAAACAAAAAAAGCAGAGAUAGGAUUAUUUAGCAAACAUGAUAUCCAAGGGAAUGAUAACAGCCCACUUGCACGGUGUAAAAACCUAAAAGGAGGAAGUACUGCCAUUGGCCUAAUGCGAACUCGCAUAACAGAUUCAAGAUGACAAUAUUGAGGUCCUUAAUUUUUCACAUUAAAGCUGCAGCACAACCCAACAAAUAAAAAACUGAACGACAACGAUUUAGAACAGUCAUUAGGCAAAAGCUAAUCAAUAUUAUACUUCAACGCAGGCUUCUCCAUAUUUCUCGUUUCAAGAAUCUUCAACUCAAGAACUCAAGUAAAGCUAAAACCAACACGAUUGUCAAACAAUUAGUCAAGCAUUGAAACAUUAAGACGGAAAGAGUGAGCUUACUUGUUUGGAUCCAAGCAUUGCCUCUUGGGUUGACUCGGUUCACCUGAUGAGGUGGAAUCCAAAGCUCUCUUUUGCAUGGACAUGAUUUUUCUGUUCUUUUGUAGAGCUUGACAAGAACUGAGAAAGUGUCGGAAUUUUGGGAGUGUUUGGUUGCUGAAAGAACGCCGCAGAGUAAUGAGUUUGUAAUCACUGGAGUGCGUUUCUUUUUAUAUAUCUGGAGGAGGGGGACAUAAUUUUCCGAGAAGAGCGACGUACAUUUCCGGGAAACGUGGGCAGCUUUAGAAUUUUUCUUUUUUCUUUUCUCUAACUUUACUAAUCUGCCCGCUUGACCUUAUGAGCCAAGUCAUGAACCCUGCGUGUACAUUUUCUUUUUCUUUUUCUUUUUUCUUUUUUCCGCCUUUUGCCUAUUAAAUAAUUGAGAAUCUUAUUAAAUUGAUCUCUAAUCAAUGGAUUGCAUUGCUCGAAUAUCGAAUAUCAUUUGCUUAUGAAAAAGCAACAUGAUAUUUCAAUUAUUCGCUUCUAAUCAACGCAAUUAUAACUUAUAAAUUAUAAUAGUAAGGUAUGUGUGUUAGAGUUAUCUAUUGAGAAAAUAUGAUGUAUCGAUUUGAGGAACAUUUGAGGCAAAUUUAUAUGCCUUCAGUUAACUCUAAGCUUCUUUGCAUUCCAUUUGUGUUCCAUUUAUGAUAUCGGACAAUAUAAUUUCGAUGGCCAAUUUGUUGAAGAAAUUGAUGCAAUCUUGGGCUCUAAUAUUCAACUUGCGAUGACCGUUUUCUAUAUAUCUCUCCGACUCUUUCUAUAUUCUUUUUUCCUUCAAUUAAGGUCUUUCUCAUCGAGUCAUUAUAGAUCCGACCUGGUUAGUCAACUAGAAAAUGAAAUCUAUUAGGCAUCUGGCCCAAUGGUAAGGAAAUUAUGUUGGGUGGAAAUAUUUAGUUUCAUAUGCGAAUUUUGAUUCUCAUGUUCUGCAAAAAGAUAGUAAAAACUAGAAAAAGUGAGAGAAGAGAGUUAAAGUAGGAUUAAUAAAAAAAAUUCUAAAAAACAAAGAGACGGUAAAAAAGAGAUGCGCUCUUACUUCCAGAAAAUGUUGUGAACCUCAUUUUGUCCCUUUGGAUGCAUCUUGACAGAAGUCAGCCUCUUGCCUUUAGCCACCGCCCAAAAGGAAAAAAUGAUUAUCUUGCCUUAAUUAGGUAAAAAGCUCAGAUCCUCCAUUCUUUCGGACAGAUCAUAGGAAGGUUCUAUGAAAUGACACUUGCAUGCGUGCUUCGCUGUAGUUCGAAGGUUUAUGCCGGCCACCUUGUUUAAAAGCUCAAACGCGCAUGCCGUGAAUAAACAACGUCGCAAAAUUAGCGACUUAUCGUGUUCUUUUGGUGGUUUUAAGCUUCCAAAAUAGAGCCCGAGUGUGACAGCUUGACAACAGACGAAAGAUUUUAUUACUUUGAUUCAAUUUUUUUCAUAAAAAAUAAAUGAUAUGAAAAAUACUUUUUAAAAAAAAACAAUUGUUUUUAUUAAUUGAAAUAAUAGUCGACAAAAAUUAUUGUCAUUAUCGACAACAAAGUAGUAACUCAACAUUAUGAUAAACAAUGAAAAUAUUUUAUGUUUGUUCAAGUUUUUGUGAUACAAACAAUUAUUUUUAGGAUAAAAAAUUUCAAAUCAUUCGUUUUCCGCUAAAUAAGAAAAAUUAAUGAUACGGGAAAAUAUUUUCCACGAUAUCAUUUUUCAAGGAAAUGAGUAGUUUUCCUUUGUUUUGUGAUAUGUAAUUAAGUAUAUAUGUGUGUGUGUGUGUGUUUUGAUCUCAUUUGAAAAAUGAAUGGUUUUAAUCACAUGACUUUAUCUCAACCCCAAAAAAUAAAUUUUUAAAUCAUUUUCUUUUUCUUUUUCUCUUUUCUUUUCUUUCCUUUUGCUUUUGCUUAUUCCUUCUUCCUUCUUCCUCCAAUAGUCACCAGGCUUUGACAAUAGCUGACAAUAGAUCACAAGCGAGGCUUGACUUGGACAACUCCUUGGAGUCAACAAUGCUCUUGCCAGCAUUGUCAAUUCCUCGUUGAACAUUCAUGACACCUUAGCGAGGGCUUCCGCUCCCUUGUCGACCACGAGUGAGGGUGUCGGCCCUUACCUAAAUCCAUGUGAGGCCUACAAUACCCUCGUUGGCCAAUGGGUGAGGGUCGCAGCCCUUAUCCAAACCAGUUGAUGGCAUUAGGGCCCUUGCUAUCCUUGGGUUAGAUAAACAAAAAAGGAAAGAAAAACGAAAAAUAAAAAAUAAAAAAUUUAGAAAUCUAUUGAUAUUAGCAUCGACCAUGCCAUAUGAGAUGGUUGACGCUGACUAGAUUGUCAUGAUUGUUUCUGAUAAAUAUUGGUCAGUGACUAAAUUGACAUAUUAUCAAAAAAUUUGGAAUAAAUCGACUCAAUUGAAAGGUUUAUAGGCCUAAAUAGUAAAUACAAUAGAUUUAAGACUUUUUUGGUAAUGUUCCUUUUAUUCAAGGUGCUUCCAUCGAGCCCACAACUCCUCGACCGAGAGUUGCAAUGUCCUCCUUAUUGUUGCCGCUCUCAUCGUAGCAGUUGCCUUCCUAGUCGAGAGGCACCACCGGAGCUGUCCUCUUCUUCGAUCGUACUUUCUCAACCUCUCCAAAAUGCCUUUUGAACCCCAAAAAAAUAAAAAUAAAAAUAAAAAAGAAACUCUCCCGAAUGCCUCAAAAAGUCAUCUUGCGUAGCCACGGCGUAAAAGAAAUUACUGGAACUAGAAAAUCCAGUCGGUUUGAAGUAAUUCUAUUGAAUAGUAGAGAUCCGACCUUUAUUAAUAUUUAUGGUUAAUAUCACGAAAAACUUUAAACUGAUAUACACAUAACAAAUUUACUCUAAACUAAUUUUUUUCUCCACUAAAAACCUCAAAUUAAUACAUCUGUGAUAAAUUUAUUUAGAAUUGAUAUUUGGAUCACAAAAAAUUUCAAACAGAUACAUUUGUAACAAAUUUACCCUCCGUUAGUUUCCAUUAAAAUGAAUUAAUACAAUAAUAAACUAGAAAAUGGUACACACGUGACAAACGGAGGAUAAAACCUUAAACUAAUACACUCGUCAAUUGUCAAGUGCCAUACAACUCAACAAUUCAAUAAUAAAAUUUAACGAAAAUUAAUGGAGGAUAAAUUUGUUAUAUGUAUACCGGUUGGAGAUUUUUUGUGAUAAAAAAAUUAUUUUUAGAUAAAUUUUUCAUGAAUAUAUUAGUUUGGGAUUUGUUGUGGUAGUAAUCCUAUUUUUUUUCUAACAUCUCUUUUAGCCAAAUUAAUGAUAUAUGAGUUGUUACUAUUUAGGAGGGGACCAUCAGCCCACCAGCCCGAUCGGCGAGAAUGGUGGUCAUUUGUCUAUGGAUUAAGGGGGAGGGCCUUAUGGGCAUAAUAUUGUUUAUUUGAUAUUGCAUGUUUAUGAAUAUCUUCAUUUUUGGCAUUAUCGAUUAAUUAAUAAGUUAAUUACAUUGUUACCAAAACUUGGGAUUAAAAGAUAAACUCAAAUGCGCUGGAAAUCUCGCUCCUAUUAGCCAGAGUUCUGGCUCCUUCUCCACCCCUGCAAUUAAAUAACUUAAGUUUAAUUAUGGGUGAAGAGUCGUAACAUCAUAGAUAUGACUCGACGUCAUAAAGUUGUACCGUACAAUAAGUAUACCGUAAAAGGGUGGCCGAGAGUGAAGAGUAGUGGGGGCAUUGCUUACUAUUUGAUCUGAAUUGUCAUAACAGUACUCAAUUUGCCUAGUUUGCAAAUUUUUUGAGGUACAGCAACAUUCUUGCAGAAAAUUAAUCAAAAUUUAACAACUCCCUUCAAGGGUUUGGAGUUGCUACUUGGUAAUGAGAGGAGAGAGAAUGUUUGCUAAAUAGUUCUAGAGUAAUUAUCGCCAGUAAUUUGCUCCAUACAUUUAAUCCCUUUUUCAAGCCACGGCAUGGUAGAACUAGAAUGCCAAACAAAAAUAGAACAAAUUGAUGUACUUGUCAUGACCACCUAAAAAGAUGGGGUUUAGAGGUAAUGCUUAAAGAUGGGCCAACAAUCCUCAAUUAAGUGCGGGCUUUUCCCAGCCUAUAUCUCCUGCGACGUUAGAUUAAUUUUAAGCUUAUUUUUAGUUUAAAAGAUUCUAAAAGUCACCACUAGCCAUUUGGGAUCACCGAAAAAUCAAACGUGAUACAAGAGUUUUGUCUUGUUUUUAAUACAACCAAAGAUUAUUAAUUUCAGAGACUUGAUUAUGCUAAUGACUAAUUAGUGCCUUUUUGGUAACUAACUCAGUGUGAUUUUUCCAUCUAAGCGAUCAAACAGCUUUUUAUCAAUUAUGAGUCCUAAGGAUCAUUUGAUGUCGUUACGUGUUCAUGCAAGGUUCUUUUAGGGUUUAUUAUGUUCAUUAUGAGCUUAAAAUAAAACCCAGCCACUCAACCAAGAAAAUAAAUCACGACACAAAAAUAUAUAAAAAGCAAUCAUAGCAAGUAAAUCAAACAUUGUAAUAAGGACGAGUAAAAGAUGAAGUGUAAUGAAGUAACCCGUUAUUAGUCGAGCAAAAAAUAUAUGUAGUCUUGUUAUAGAGCCCUAGGAAAUGAUUUCCCAAGAGCUAGACGCGAAUUUAAAUCUAAGUCUAAUUCUAAACCGUAGAGACCAACUCAUUAAGAGCAACCGCUAAAUGAAACUCAAAGAGGAAACAAGCACCGAGUUUACUCUCUAAAUAACAUCUAGUCUAAGAAAAACUACUUUUAAUCAUUUUCGACGUUUCCAUCUUCUAUUAUUUCAUUCAAAGGCAUGCAAGACUUAAAUCUUCAAUCUGACUAUACUAAAUCACCAAACUAAUCUGACCAGCAAGCACCGCUUGUAGUUUUUACUCUGUCGUCUCUUCGGAGACAUCCGAUAAAAGUAGUUUUACACUGUCGACUAAGCCUCUUGUUCACAUAUAGCUCCAAUUAAGACCAAUGGAAAGCAGCGCACUAAAGUCCGGACGAAAAGUCAAUAUUUACGCCCACAACCCGUUACCUGAAGACCAAGACAGGCAGCUCAGUCAAACACAAAUAUUCACUCUCUCUUUCCUUUUUCCUUAUAAUCCACACUUCCCACUAACUCGCCCCUCCACGCUCGACAACUCCUGGCCUCCUCCCUCUUUUGUUCUUUUCAUCCCCCACUUUUCUUUCACCAACCAAAUGUUCUCCUGGCGCAAUGCCAGAACAUACAGAGCAAGGAAGAGAAACACCACUCGGUAUUGCUUGAGAAUAAUAAAAAUAUUCCCAGCGAUAAUAUCAUCCCCGUGAUUAAUAAAAGGGACAUUUGUGUACAUGAAAGCUGUUCAGACGUGAUUUGUGCUUCCAAUCAACAGGAAAACACUAUGGCCUUUGGGCUUUUUUGUGCCAUCUAUAUAUGUAAGCUUUUUUUUUUUUUUUUUUUUUUUGUAAUUGAUAGUUGUAAUAGAGGAGUGAAAGGUGCUGAUUGUAAUGAAAUUAUCUACUAGAUGUAACCCUAAUUUAAUGAUAAAUCAAAUAAAACCUUAUAUCUCAAUUUCUCUUUCCCACACUUCCUCUUUAUUUCAUUGUGUUUGUACACCUAAUUUUAACAAAUUGGAGUAGCUAGAUCGAUUGUCCGGUAACUUCCAAUCUACUACUACUGCAAAAGAAAUUUUUUUUUUUGAAAAAAAAAAAAAAAAAAAGAUUCCAUUGUCCGGUUGAGAGGUCAUCCCAUGUAUUGAAGUGUACAUAUACAAUUGAAAGAUUAAUUGUUAUUUUCUUAUUAUUAUUUUUCCGCGACAGCUUUUGCGUCAAAAGUAGCUCCACGCCCAACCCUCUCAGCGCCCGAACGCUUUUGCGUCGAGCAAGAUCCGAACAACAACGACCACCACCUCCACCACCAUCUUCAUCGGCCUGAAAAAUGCCCCAAAUCCUCGAGCACUAAACCCUAAUUCCACUAGCCCCUGCCAACCACCGUCGCCGCGAUAAUGACCAGAUCUUCCCUCCCGGUGGUGCAUCACCAGCCCGACACCUCGUCGUCACCCUCAACAGCAUCGGUCGAGCACGUCCCCCUCAGCCACCACACCAUGGACUCCGCCUCCGCCAUCCUCCUCCACUCCCUCGCCUUCCUCCCCCGCGCCGCCUCCGCCCCUACCAGCUCGUCCUCUGCCGGCCGCGCCGUCGACUCCGCCCUCGCUGCCGAGCUGGGGCUACGCCUCGUCCACGUGGACUCCUCUCGAGCUGAGGAGACCGCUGAAGAGAAGCCCGGGGCGACAAGGAGGAUGAUGAGCUCUCGAGGCGGAGAGAGAUGAGCGAGAAGGCAGAGAAGAGGGAGAAGGCUUCGUCUCAGAGCGCGGGGAAAAGAAAAUGAUUUCCAUCCAUUUUCUCAUAUUUUUGCAGGAUUUUUCCCGGUUGACGGAAAUUAUUUUUCUUGAUCCAUUCAUUCUCUUUGAGCCAAACUGCGGAAAAUUUGGUUGACUAAACAAAUGAAGCCUUAAUCAUGAAUCCGCGUUUAUAAACCGUAAUUUUGUUGUGCUAGUGGGCCAUUACCUACUAUCUUAUUCUAAAUUCUCAUAAUAGUAUUCAAUUUGCCUAGUCUGCAAAAUUUUCUGGAGGCAACUCUACGGUAUUUCCAGACUAAAAUACAAUACGCUAUAACGGGCAUUGAAUUUUUUUCUUUCUUUUUUCUAUAGUGAGUCCUGAAAGAACUUAAUCGUAAUUUAGCAGCUUCCCUUCACUAACUUUCCUCUAGCCUAAUGGCUUUAAGAGUCUCUCGAAAACCAUAUCGAGGUGUAAAAUGUUGUUACUUUCAACCCCAAUCCACAAACGUCGGAUCCCUCCCUUUCAACAGAUGAAUGGAAACCGCUCCAUCUAUAAGGACAGUAAUCAAGUAAAAACUAGUGAUCGCCAGUAAUUUGGUCCACAAAUUCAAUCCUUUCUGCGCCCAUGGCAUGGUAGAACUAGAAUGACAAACAGAGAUAGAACCGGUUGUACCAGGAUGUGUGAAUUACACCAACAAGCAAGCAUAGUGUUCAUACUUUGAUUUAGAAACUCAUAAUACACGACUCACCUCAAGCUAUUAAGAUAAAUAGCAUUCAUACUUCGAUUUAGAAACUCAUAAUAAACACUAAAGCUAUUGAGAUAAAUAGUAAGUCUCCAUUGAGAUAAAAUACGAUACGCUAUAACAGGCAUUGAAUCUUGUUUCUUUCUUUUUUCCCGAAAGAAGUUAACCGUAAUUUAGCCGCUCCCUUCACUGACUUUCCUCUAGCCUAAUGUCUUUAAGAGUCUUUCGAGAAAACCAUAACAAGGGUUUAAGAUGUCGUUACUUUCAACCCCAAGCCACAAACGUGGGAUCCCUCCCUUUCGACAGAUGCAUGGAAGCCGACCCAUCUAUAAGGACAGUAAUUUAGUAAAAACCAGUGAUCGCUAGUUUGGUCCGCAAAUUCAAUCCCUUUCUUAGCCCUUGGCAUGGUAGAACUAAAAUGACAAACAGAUAUAGAACCAGUUGUACAUGGAUGUGUGCAUUACACCAACAAGCAUAGUGUUCAUACUUUGAUUUAAAAACUCAUAAUAAAUAUGACUCAAUUUAAACAAUUGAGGUAAAUAGGAAGUCUCCAUGGCCAAUGCGCUGAACGUCAAAUCCCAAAAGGUUGUCCGGGAGCAAGUAGUGCUUGAUCAGCAGCCACAAGAUUCGGGUCCUCAAAGAACUGUUCACAACCAUACUCCUCGUCUUCAUUAUCUGAAGAGCAAUACAAAUAAUAUUAGAAUGAGACCAAACUUCACACACCAUGAUUGCUAAUUUCUCAUGAACCAUGUAUGAAUAUUCAAUGAAUGUUACACUACUAAUGAGGCCAUCACUAUGUCCACUACUGCUUUUGCGAGAUGAGUAUGCAUUGGCCAUGGAAAUUACACCUUGAUCAGUCCUUACCAUCAGAUAAGUGAGAUAAUUCAACUGCUGUAGAGAAAUAAUCAGAAGUAAUAUCUUAGAAAACACCCAUAUAACUCUCUUUGUAUGCAGUUACAACAUUUACUAAGUUGACUAGACUCAAUCAAACCCCUAAAAAGAGCUUACCAGUGUGACAAAAUUGAGUCAAGUAUCAUACUUGAGAUGCCAAAUGAUUUAGUCUUCAAAUGAGCCAGCUUCACAUUUACUUGUUUAGUUCCCAAAUGGGAUUGAUAAUAGCAGAUAUCACAAAAAUAUCCCUCUUUUAAACUCAUUAAAUGGGUUCCUAAUGUGGUCAGGUGUUGAGUGUUUUUUUUUGGCACUCUCUCUAUUGGCAGAAAAAAGAAAGAAAAAGGACAAACUGCUUUCCUUAAGGAGAAGAAAUGAGCUAAUGCACUUCCUACUCUUCCAUACACAAGCACGAAUCUGUCCGCUGAAAAAGGAUUGCGACAGAAACCAAAGCCGUAUAGGUGAUAACGUUCUCCUUUCAUUCCAGCAAAUGAUGCUCUCACCACAUUCAUCAUCGCUGUGAAUAGUAAUUCUGCCUAUUUUCAGUGUAGAAGUCCCAAACUUUCUUCUCAAUUUUUUCACAAGACAGUAUUAGACAAUACCAUAACACAACACAAUCGACUACAUUACAGGGAGAAAAUUCAACUUACUGGGAGCUAGGAAGCUUGAUGAUGGCCCGUAGAGUUGUCCGUAUGGCUGUAUAUUUGUAUUUGCUGAAGGCUCCGUUUGGUUCGAACUGUAAAAAGUUUGGUUCCACGUGGCAUUUUGGGAAUUGAGACUCUGUAAUUGUAUUGGCAAUCCAUCAGAAGUAAUACCACCGUUUCCUGGAGAGAGAGAGAGAGAGAGAGAGAGAGAGAGAGUUUGAACUAUCAGAAUUUUGUCGCAUAUAGACAUGGAUAUGAGCUAUUUAAGUAGUAAAAAAUUUUCUUGGUAUUUUCUACUUCUAUGACGUGGUAACAAAGCCUUAGAGGCGAUAGUGUUUUCUGCUUUCGUGCCAGCAAGUCAUACUCUCACCCCAUUCAUCAUCAUGGCGAAUAUUAGUUCUGCAUAUUUUCUUAUAGACGUCCCAAUUUUCCACAAGACUGGAUAAAACAAUACGACGCCGCAAAGCAAUCAACGUUACAGGCGGAAAAUUCAACUUAUUGAAACCUUGGAAACUUCCGGAUGGUUGUACACAAGGCUCCAUUUGGUUCAAACCACCAAUAAUCGGGUUCCACAUGGCAUGGUUGGAAUGGAGACUUUGUGGUUGGAUUGGCAAUCGAGCAGCAGUCCUACCACUGUUUCCUGUGGAGAAAGAGGGGACGGAGAGAGAGAUUUAAACGGUCCUGAAAUACGUUUGAAGAACCAAUAAUUAUGACAGUACGACUAAAUUCCCUUCUCGAAGAUGCAUCAUCCGUCGAUUUCGAUUAAUUUGAUUGAGGCCCUAAAAUACACCUCAAGAAAACCAAAUAAUCAGGACAUUGCGAUUAUAUGCUUCAUGAGAAAUGAUAAUAGUCACUGAUAGUCCUCCCUUGUAAAAUAUUUUGGUAUAGUCUUGUUUGACUCCAUGUCACUAAUGGAACCGUUGAUUUCAAUCACCUCUGAAGCCAUAUCAUCAUCAUUGGCAUUCUUGUAAUACUCAUUAAGGGUGCACCAUCAUUCGAGUUGAGUGUUGAGUGUUUUUUUGGCACUCUCUCUAUGGUUGCUCUUUGUGCAUUUCUUGGCAGAAAAAAGAAAGAAAAAGGACAAAACUGCUUUCCUUAAGGAGAAGAAUUGAGCUAAUGCGAUUCCUACUCCUCAUUACACAAGCAUGAAUCUGUCUGAUGAAAUAGGAUCAUAACCCUAGGCCAAAGCCGAGGAGGUGAUAACAAUAUACUUUUGUUCCAGCAAGUUUUAUUCACACCACAUAUAUCAUCACAGAGAAAAUUCAUUCUGCAUAUUUUUAGUGUGGAAGUCCCAAUCUUUGUUCUCAAUUUUUCCACAAGACAGGAUAAAAAAUAUUAUGCCGCGAAGAAAUUGACAUUGGAGGGAGAAAUUUCGACGUACUUAAAGCUGGGAAGCCUGAUGUUGACCCGUACGGUUGUCCUAAUGGCUGCACAUUUGUAUCUGCUGAAGGCUCCAUUUGGUUCAACGUGGCAUUUUGGGGAUUGAGACUUUGUGAUUGUAUUAGCAAUUGCGCAGCAGUAAUGCCCUGAUUUCCUGGAGAGAGAGAUUAAAAAUAAAUUAGUAUCCGAUUGAUGAAGCCCAUAAUAGAAAUGCGGCAAGCCAGGAAAGGCAAGUCUCCUAGGUGUGGGAUCAACAUGGAGUCCAUAAGUUCCUAAUGUUGUGAUUUAUACAAACAGUUCAGCUAAAUAGCUUUUGGUCCCAAAAACCAUAUGAAGAACCAAUAAUUAGGGCAUUGCAAUCACAUACUUCAUGAGAAACGAGAAUAGACAACAGUGCUCCUCCCUCGUAAAAUAUUUUAUCGUAUUCUUGACUGACUGUAUGCUACUUAUGGAACAGUUGAUUUUAACCACCUCCAAACCCAUAUCAUUGGAAGCCAGUAUAUUUUCCUCCCAAAGAUGUACGCUACUGUGAAAGGUUUUAGUUGCAACAUAUCACUUUGAUGAUCUAAAAUCACAAAAAAGAAGUGGCUACAUCUCAGCUAGCGUUUAAUUAGGCAACUUUUUCUUUUCCUCGCAGCCAAUUAGAGCACAUACCUUCUACUGUGGAUACUGAAGUUCUAGGAGGUACUUUCAAACUAACAUGACUGCCCAGUCUCAGUGGAGGCGUAUUGUUGUGAGCUGGAUGGAGGUAUUGUUGAUCUCCUAGAACUUCACACGGAAAAGAACACGAGAUCUUCUCCGACAUGGAACUUGAAGAAGCCUCAGCUUCAUUUGGUGUGACAUCAUUCCAAUUCUCAUAGGCCUUUUUCACCAAUUUAUCUGAACAGACCUGGAAGACUUGAAAGUUACUACUUGCUCAACCAGUCACUUUAUCAGGGUUAUCUUACACCCUAGGUGACUCAAAUAAUUCAGGCUGGACUCGUAUGGAUAUCAAAGGCACUAAGAAGAUGUGUCUAAUAUGUUCCCUUUUUUUCUCAGACAGAUCAAACAAGGUAGGAAGAUGCAAAGUUGGUGGUCAAAAUACCAAUAAGGAAAAUCAUGGACAUCAAGUUCACAGAAUUUGAUGAAAGCAACAAAAAGCAUCUCGACUUGAAAGUACCAUAACAUGGUGAAUGAGUCAAAAACUUAGAACUCUGUAUGAGCAUACGGUGCUCCUAAGCUGCUAACUGCACUCCUCAUGUUGCGGACGGUGGUUGUGGUCCCACAGAGGGUGCUUCUGGUGAUGGCUUCUCAAGGGGUGAGAGUAAAAGAAGAGGGCAGCCUUUGGAGGAGUUUGAAUUGGAUGUGGAUGGAGAUUCAUUGGUCUUGGUGCUGAUGGGGGUUGAUGAGGCAAGAUUCUCUUUUUAUCAGUUUUAUUGUUGAAUCGUUUUGAGGUAAACAGUAAGUAGGAUGUCUCCUUUUGGGUACUUAACAAUAUCGAGGCUGUUGGCCAGAUCCUUGGAGUCUCCUUGCGAGUGUUCCAAGAUACAGCCAUGAGUCUUUUCGAGGAGCUUGAGAAUGGAAAUGAUGGCCCUGAGCAUUUUAAGUCCUUGAAAAAAAUCAACAAAUUGAAACGCCUUCAGUGAUCCACCAAUAAUGAUAAAACUCCCGACAGAAAAAGGAGGUUGUGAGGGGUCGCAGUGGAAAGGACUCUUCAUUGUUUAUAUAAAGGUCAAUAUAAGGUCUUGGAUUGUCAGGGGGCUGAAUGAUGGAGACAAGAGAACGGUGAUAAAAAAAUUUAGUGGAGACGGAACGUAGUGUCAUUAGGAGACUAAAAUGGAAGAUUGUCAGCUGGAUGUUGCCAGGAAAACUCUAUUAUGAGACUUCGGUAUAAUGGAAAGUUAUAUGUGCAUGUAAAUGCUUUAAACGACAUUGUAGAUGAUUUUUAUUGUAAAUGAGCUCUUUUGGUGCUAAGCUUUUCUCUACAUGGCUUUGCCCCCCUUUUGUGCCCAUUUUCUUUUACCUAUAAAAAAAAAAUAGAAAAUUAUCAUCAGAGAAACUCUAUUUUGUUUUUGUUUUUGCUUUUCCCCUGGCAUUUGCAAAGCUGAUUAAAACAGCUUAGCAUCAGAGAAUAAUCACUAAUUCAACAUAAAUGAAUGCACUGAAUUUUUAGGAACAGCUAUCUGAUUAACUAUCAUGCCUACGCUAUAUUGACAAUGUAGAUAAAAUUUUUUACUGAUAAUCUGAGGUCAGGGGGUGUCCCUUGCAGAUUGCAUGGCAAAUACCAGAAAAGGUAAAAUUUCCCAGUUACCUUCUGCUCGGGAGAAAAUAUGUCAGCAGCAUAAUACAUUCCGCCCGCAGUUAGGCCUCUGACUUGACCAACGCUGUUGAAUAUAACACCGCAAUCAUUUUCAUUAUACACGUAGAGUUUCCCAUUCGGAGUGCAAGUUUUUGCAUGAUCUAGGAGGGCUUUCCACUUCUUCUCUGUCAUGCCAAGAAUCUGCAAUGAACAAACACGUCAUUACUCUUCUUGGUUUAGGGAGUUCAAUCCAAAUUGAGAACCAUCUGCAAAAUCUCACAUCUCUCAGUUUCUCAGGGUCCAUGGAGAGUCGUCGUAAAAACUCUUCCACCUUACAUAUUCCUGUAUCAACCAGCUUCUUGUGAAAUGAUCCAUCCUUCGCGAUACUUUCCAAUCUCCAGAUGUCAUCGUCAGAUGCUGGUGGAUAGUGUUUCUUGUACGCUGUAAAGUGAGUAGAGGAUGAAAUUGCAGUAAUACCAAGAUCAAUAGGGCAAACAAAACUUGUUGUGCAACUAAAAAAUCUCUAAGCUAUUAGGUGAAGUUUUGAGACAAAUUAGCUAAGGAAGCCCUUAUUCUAGCUUCACUCAGUUUAGUGAGAUUUUCCCAUCUUUGGCAAUCUUCUUCAACCACCGGACUUCAUCAUCCGAUACAGGCGGAUGAUGUUUUUUAUCCUGCAAAAUGAAGAGAAAAAUGUCAGUAAGGUCUCAGUCGCUAUUAGAUUAAUGAGUAGCAGCAAACAUCGAUAGGCGUGCAAACCUCUUCUCUAAGACCUUGAUAGCUCGUAAUAGAGUAUGGGCACGACACUCUUUGCGCGGUACAAUAAUAACAAUUAUUCCCUUUCCUACAAGACUAACCUACCAAUAUACAACAUCGACAGGCGUCCAGCGAUUUCUCCCCCUAGAAUACUUUUUGUUGGAUACAACUUUAUUUAAAAAGAAAUGGUAAAUAGUGGUGGGACGCGUCCGGUGGCUGGCGACCGGCUAUCGGCGGCGGCUGGUAGCUGACGACCUUGGCAGAGUCGCAGUAGCGGGGGAGGACGAGGCCGUCCUUCUCGAGGGCGAGCUUGGCGGCCCUGAUGUUGCCCUCGCAGAGCAUCAGGAGCUCAGACGGGCACCAGGCGUGGUAUGACCCGCCGUCGCCCCCCUACACCUUCUUUGCGAGCUUCAGGGAGAGGUCGAGAUCCAAUGGCGGCUGGCAGCUGGCGGGAAGAGGAGCAAAGCAAGCGAGGCUACGGAGCGCGAUGGAGGAGAGAGAGGGAAAAAGGGAAGCGAAAGGAGAGCGAAAGUGAAGCGAGCUGAGUCAGCAAGGGGGAGGAGGGUGUGAAUUUAUAGAGGGGGAAUCGGAACGGAGUCGAGAAGAGCGGGUGGAAGGUUUCCGUUCCGUUACCUGAAUCGUAGCGGAUGACGACGGUGACGAAGAGAGAGAGAGACGGCAACUUUUGCGCGAGGGAGGGAGGGUGAGUCUCGGUAUCCCCUUACUUUCUACGCGGGAAAGAGGGGGUGCGUGACAAAUUAAAAUUCGUGUUCCAGAAAUAUUUUUUCAAUUUCAGGCUUGUUUUUGGAAAAAAAUUCAUUUGAUAAAAUUAUUUUAUUUUUCUAUUUCUAAAAUAAAUUUUUGUUCUAGAAAUAGGUUUGGAAUAGAAAUUGGAAGUAAAAAUAUUUCUUUUUUAUUUUUAUAAUAAAAAUGAAAAAUAAAAAUUCUUCUUAUCGUUCAUUAACCAAUCGUUCAUACGUCACCGCCAACCACCAUCCGCCGGUUAUCACCACCCCAGUCGCUGGCCGCCACAACUGCCAUUUGUUGGUUGACAGCGGCCACCACCGUUCGCCAGUCGCCAGUUGUUGGCCAUCGCCUCUACCGUUGCUGUCCGCCAGUCACCAAUUGCCGGUCGCCAUUGCUGCCGCCGCCAUUCGUUAGUUGCCGCUAGCCGCCGCCAUUUGUUGGUUGCCACCAGCCGCCGCCGCCACUGGUCGCCGACCACUAACGGUUGCUAGUUGCCGGCCACUGUUUGAAAUGGAGAAAUUUUGUGUCGUUAUCGAAACAAAUUUCUAUUUUUAUAGUAAAAUUUUUUUGUCGUUAUCAAACGGGUAUUUUUGCUUAAAAAUUCUUCUAGAAAUAGAAAAAAAAAAUCUACUUUUUUUCUAGAAAUCAAUUUCUAGCUAGAAUGGUUAUCAUUUGCACCCCAAAACUGAUUCGAUCUAUCUUAUUUAGAUUUGUAACCCUAUUUUAUUCUUAUCCUUUUCUUUCUCUUUUUUUUAAAAUUUUUUUAAUUUUUUUUUCUUUUUCCUUUUAAAUUUUCAAGUUUAUUUUUGAUGCGGUGCUUGCUAUUAAGAUUGUAAUAAUAAAAAAAAAAUAUUUUGGUCUUUUUUAUUAGACAUAUUGAACGGAGUUAUUAUAGGGACUUUCCCAUGUCAAUUUAACAAGUUUUAUGAUUUCACCAUAAAAAUGCGAUACUGCAAAAGUUAUUAUACAUACCCAGUGUCCUACGUUCCCUAACGGGAAAGGCAUCUGUUUUUGCUUCUCGGAUCCGUGUAUUCUCACCAUCACGCGAUGCCACUUUGAGCCCUAUCCUGAAACUUUUGCUUCGAUUCCAGCUGGAAUUGUCAGUAAACAUCAAGUCUCCCAGCUCCCCAACACCUGCCUUUAGCUUUACUUGGAGAUUUCCUGUCAAAAGCGGCCUCUUUCCUUCUCGCUCUUUAACCACGUAGCUAUCAAACUCUUCUGGAGCCCAAUUUUCCUCAUCGUCUUUGUUGAAGUCACCUUCAAGCACAACGACGUCCAACUUGAUGGAGGCUUCUGGCCCUGAUGUAACAACAUGCCUUGUAUUCGCAUCAAUCAAGGCAAUGGAAAUGCGAGCACCGCCCUCUCCUUCUAGUUUCUUUUCAGUAAAUAGAGGAAGUGACAGUUUGUUUUGAAGUUGAAGCCGUAAGUUUCUCGCGUCAUUCUUCGCUGUAGAUCUACCAUUAACCCUGCAUUCUCUCGAGAGAACAGCUAUUAGAAAUAGGAACGGGUACAGAAGCGGGAAAUUGGAAAAGUAACUAUAAAGAGAGCCAAGCUACUAACAAUGAAUGUGCAUUCGUACCUUGCAAGGUGGGGAGAGCGAAUGUUUGCAAGCUCCACUGCUUCCGCCUGGCAAAUAACGCCAACAGCAGAAUUGCCGAAGUUGGAGACCUCAAAUAAAAAUAAAUAAAUAAAAAAUGAGGCAGAAGGGAUAUGUCCGAGACAAAGUGCAAAUUCAAUAAAUUUGUUUAUCUUACCAGUUUCUGAACAGCAUUCUCCAUUGAGUCCAUUCGUUGCAGUACAUCUUGGAGAUCAUUCCUGAUGUGACAACACCAUGAAAAUUGACACCGUGAACAAUGGCUGUCAUGUGGACUUAUUUGUAAUAAAUAGGAAAGGCGAGCUUCUCAAUGGCUCGUUCUCUGUGAUUCUUAGAGCUGCAGAUGAAACUGAUCGGACCGAUUUCGAGUGCACCCAAUGAGGAUCCCCGAUUACAGUAUAAAAAGAUGGAUACCAGUCUACCAGACUCAUCAAAUGCAUUCCUUUAAUGUAACGCAACAUAGAAAAGUCAACACAAAUCUGGAAUUCAUUUUUAUCCGGUACAUUGAUAACAGAAGCAAGUAAAGUUUAAUUAGCAGCCAUCUCCAAAUGCAACGUCCUUUCAGUGAUUUAAAAAAUAAUGUAUGUGCAGGUAUUACACUUUGCUGAACAGAAUCAUGGACCGAUGGCUUAUGAUACUCCAUGAUAAUUCUACUUGACAAGACAAUACACAUGGAAAUUCUCCUAGAAGAAUCAGUUGAUGCAGAUGAGCUAUAGCUAACAAACCAAAUAAAAUUUAUUCACCUUCGACCGUAUUUGGCCAAGUCAGAUUUAGCACGCUCCAGCUCUUCCCUGACCUGUUCAGCAAAGAGCAAUGUCAAAGAAUUACAUUGCAAUCUGCCACGUCUUCAUCUCAUACAAGUUUCACAUCACUGGUAUCUUCAUUGUUCUCCUUCGACAUGCAAGUUGUCUUUUUUUUGUUUUUGGUAAAGAUCGACAUGCAGGUUGUCAUUGACCACAUUUUCCAAGAUUCAAGGAAAAAAUUAUGUCCAAGCCACUUCAUUGAAAAUCUGGAUCUUUUUGUGAUCCAUACUGUCCGAAACAACAUGAAAAGCCUAAAUCACGUUCUUAGUGGAAUUGCUUCACUGGAAAAGCCUAGAACAGUCAGCAGGUCAUUUUUACCACUCAAACGAUAAUUUUCUACACAUCUCGCAGCAAUUUCUCAUGCGGAUUUCUAUCCGGAAACUGACUGGAAGGUCAGAAAUGCAUCCAACCGCUCCUAGUUGAAGAGAUCAGCAAUUGAAGUACAAUAAAGACUGCAUUUUGUAUGUCCAAGUUGGCUACUUUACUCAUCUUACCACUCUCCGGACAUCUUCCUCUGUCAACCAGCUCCUCGGCACAAGAUUUCUCCCGGACCAACGCCAUGUUUGACUGCGUGAAGAUCAGGUCAGCACAAAAGUACAAUCAAGAUGGUACAAUUUGGCAAACAGGACAGCAAAGAAACCCAGUAACAAUAUCAGCUCACUGGCUAUGUAAAAGUUUCCAAGAAAGUUUAAUUCGAAUCAGGAGGAAAUAAUGCGAUUGGCCCAGGCCAAAAUCGCAAAACAGAGUCGAGAUGGCAACAUUGGAGAUCUUUAUGCUUCGCAUCUAAUUCACAGCACAAUCCCACGAACAAAAAACAGAACGAAAGCAAUUUAGAGCUGUCACGAGGCAAAAGCUAAUCAAUGUUAUGCUUCCUUUGCCAUAUAUCCUCGUUUAGGAAAAUUACCAAAAAGGUCCUAAAACUUAUUAUAAUUGAUUUAGUCCUAAAUUUAUCUUUUUGACCAAUUAAGUCCUAAACCUUUUACAGUUUGAGAAAAUUACCAAAAAAGUCCUAAAACCUAUUAUAAUUGAUUCAAUCCUAAAUUUAUCUUUUUGACCAAUUAAGUCUUAGGCCAUUUAUAAUUAUGCCAAAUCAGUUCAUCUAGUCAAAAUUGGCCGGCUAGCACUGAUGUGACCAUUGGCCAGUGACGGUGAGGCCCCCCUCGCCGGAUCUGGGGAGGGCUCACCCGGUCGCCUCAGUCCGGCGACCGGCCAGCCCUCCCCUCUGGCCGGUCGCCAGAGCCAAAGGAAGAAGGAGGGAGGAGGAGAGAGGAGGAAGGAGGGAGAGGGGAAAAAAUGAAAAAAAAGGAUAAAAAUUAAUAAAAUAAUUCAAAAAAUACAAUAUUAUUAUAAAAAAAAAGUCCCACAAAUAUAGCUAAAACGAACGCGAUCAUCAAAUAAUCGAUCAAGCCUCGAAAUGUUGAGAGGGAAGAGUGAACUCACUUCAUUCGAGCUCUGCGUGGCCUCUUGAGUAGACUUACUUGACCUGAAGAAGUGGAAGGCAAAGCUCUCUUUUGCGUCGACAUGAUUUUCUUUGCUUUUGUGGAGCUCAUCAAGAACUUGGAAGGAUUUGACUACUGAACAAACGGGAACAAAUGUAGCACAGAAAUGACGGAGAAGAUGAACAGUUUAUAUAAGAACUCAAGCCCACAUUCAAAGUAAUGAGUUUGUAGUCAUCGGGGUGCGUUUUAUAAUGUCGUCUCCGGAGUAGGCACAUCAAAGUGCAGUACAUUUCAGGGAAAGGGUGCCGGUUUUAGAAUUACCCUUUUUCUUUCCUUAGAUUCCAGCAAUUUGCCCCCUCAACCUUAUGAAGCCGCCCGUGCAAUUUCUUUUUGACCCGAUCUUUGAUCCGAUCGGUCAUGUGCUCCAAUAUCUUGAGCAAGUGAAAAAAAUUCAAAGGAUAAAUAUACUGAAAAUUUUAAAACUUGUCACAAUAGUUAAAUUGAGUCUCAAAACUUUAAAAAAUAAUUUGAUCAAUUCUUAAAAUUUAUCAAAUUUAUGCAAUCAAGUUCUUUUAUUAACUCCGUUCAACUUAAUAAACGAAAAAUGCUAACAAUUUUUAAGAUUUGAUUAGGUUUUUUUAAAAUUUUAGAAUUUAAUUGCACUUUUGUACAAAUUUUAUCACUUCCAACACAUUAUCCCUUUAAUUGAUUACUGCUAAUUACACGCGACUACUACACAUAAAUUGUAACAACAAUCAAAUGUGUGUUAUAGUUAUCUAUUGAGAAAAUAUGUACGCAUUCGAGGAAUGAUGGAGGCAAAUUAAUAUGGCUCUCCUUCCGAUUGAUGAUGCCAAAACGAUUUAUUGAUGAACAUUGGAUUUGAUUGCCGGCUUGAGAAUUUUUCCUCUUUCUUGUCUCUAACUUUGCUAGAUUGUCCCCUCAACCUUAUGAGCUAUGAAGCUGUAUGUACUUCUUUUUUAUUUUUUAUUGUUUCUGCUUUUGCCUAUUAAAUAACUGAGCUAUUUUUGCAAACAACAUACCAAGGUAAAUCUUCUCUACCUGAUCUUUAAUCAAUGGGUCACAUGCUCGAAUAUCGAUUAUCAUCUAGGUGUAGCUUUUGUGCAAGCACCAUAAAAUUCCAGUUAAUCACGCAGCUUCUAAACGGUGCAAACGGGCCUGGAAAAAUGCCUUCACUUUUUACGGAUACCACACCAUAUAUAAUUCUUUUCUUGGCUCGUUCGCAUUCCAUUUGAUUAAGAAAUCGAUACUUCAUUUGUUUUACGGUUUUCCUAUAAAUAAUCGCCAUAACUUUGGUCUCUUUUUUUUUUUCCCUACUUCUAACGUUUCACUAUAAGUAAGCCGUAUUGGAAAAAAUUAGAAAUGUAAUUGCCAUAUGAGGUCUCAUUUUCGUUCGGAGGAAUUCCGUCCAUAAUCUUUCAAGUUACUCCAAUUGUGGAGGACAUUUGGUCAAUAUAUGAGAAAUGGUGGUUGAGGAUCAUAGGAAGGUUCUGGGAAAUGUUACCUGCAUGUAUCACGGGCUGAUCGAUUAGGAUCCACGGAGGAGUCACAGCUGUCCAUUGGGAACCUCUUGGAUCGGUCUUCUUCCGGGCCAUGACACAUGCAUGCUUCAUUGUAGUUGAAGAAUUUAUGUUGGCCACUAUGUUUAAAAGCUCAAAAGCGCUUGGAAAUAAGCUUCCUCCCAAAAUAAGAUUUAUGUCGGAUGAAUUUUUGUUUUUUCUUCUCUCUAAUUUUACUAAUUUGCCCCCUUAACCUUAUGAGUUAUGAAGCUGCAUGUACUUUUUUCUUUUUCUUUAUUUUUUCUACAUUUGCCUAUUAAAUAAUUGAGCUAUUUUUUACUUCAACGUUCACGGUAAAUCUUCAAUGGUCACAUGCUCAAAUAUCGAUUAUCAUCUAGGUGCCGAGCGACAUAAUAUUUCGAAUAAUCACUUCUAAUCUAGCGUAGCUAUAACUCAUAAAUUAUAACGAUGAAAGAAUGUGUUUUGUAGUUAUCUAUUGAGAAAAUGUAUGUACUACAAAUUGGUUCAAGGAGUGUUAGAGGCUAAUUAGUAUGCCUCUUCAUCAAAUUGAUGAUGUCAAAAUGAUUUAUUGUUUCUUGGUUUCGUCAUAAGGUUGUUAUUUUCCAAAGGUUUAGAAUGCCACAGGUAUCGUAUGCGGUUAAAAUCCUUUUGACUAUGAGAACUCGCUAGUUUUCUUACCUGUGUUUUGCACAAGGUUUCUUUGCAAAGAGAUGAGUGAUUCUUGAUGUAUCAUUUUCAUAGGAACUCUCAAUCUUAGAUAAUAUUUCAACUACUUGAACAAAAAUCUUUAAUGCAAGCUAUAAAUUUUAUUGUUAAUAUUAUAAUUUUUUCAUUGACUCCAUGGCCAAGUGAAAUUAAUUUCUCGUGCAAAUUAAAAGCAAACACUGAAAAAAUGACAUUUGGUUGCCUGAUACAUGACUUUAUUCAUUAUAAUCCCCAAGUGUUGAUCUCAUCAUCAUUUCAUAAAUUAUUCUGAUUAAACUUUAUUAAAAUGAUCCUUCAUCAAUAAUGUCACUUUCAAACGGUACAAGGGGUGAUCGAAAAUUACCUUCGGUGCACCGUAUGUUGAUUCUUCCAUUGGCUCUUUCACAUUCUAUUUGAUGAAGAAAUUAGUAAUUCAUGUGAUCACUGCUUCCCCCCCCUCUCCCUUUUUCUUUUCUUUUCGUACUUCUAUUAAAGUCUUUUUCAUCAAGUUUAAGUAAAAGGGAUUAGGUGAUUGAUAAUUAAAAAUUGAAUCUAGCAUAUGUUACGUGUUUGUUACUAUUGUACUUAAUUAGUAUGUCCAUGAUGGGGUGCGAUGAGAACGCACUGUUUCAUCUUGAUACGCUACGAUAGAAAAACACUCUUUGAAAGGGUAUGAAGGGAGUUGUAUAAAAGUCUUUUGAAGAUAACCGUUGGUACGGUUGGCAGAACGUACGCUCAGAAAUUUCUCUCUUUUUUCUUUUCCCCUUUCCAUCAAAAGAAAAAGAAGAUGUUCCAUUUAUACUUUAUAAGAACAAUUGGCAUUUACGCUGUGGAAAUCGGAUGCUUUUCUCGUGAUUGCAUUCAGACCAACGUGAAGUAAUUUUGUUCGUGAUUCAUCUGCAAUUCAACAAUUGUUCCGUGUAAAUUGUUGACUGCGCAUCGGAUAGAGGUAAGUCAUCGUUCGCCGACUUCCUUCCACCAUUGGUAUCAGAGUCCGAUCGUGAUUUUUAUCUUGUUUUCAUCUCGUUUACCACUUGAUAUUGAGAUCAGGAGAUUGAAUUCCACAUCGUCUGGAUGUAUUGCUCAUAAAUGCAAUUUGAAUCGUCAAACACGAACCGAAGGGAAGAACAGGUUCGGGUCGUGUACAUCCAUACGGUUUUGGCCAUUUUUUGGAAUAUUUUUUCGGCCAAAAUAAUUUUUUAUAUACACGAGACGAGAUCAAGAGAUUGAAUCCACAUUGUCUGGAUGGUUGGAUUGUUCUCUCGUUUUUCUCAGCUGAAUGAAUUGAAAACGAAUAUCAGAAAUAACUAGCAGCGCCAUUGUUUUUAAUGCCACUGACUUCUCUCCCAUUUAAGAAAAAAAGGGAAAAAAAAACGAGGUGGGAUUUGUGUGUUUUAAUUUGAAGAGAUCGGCUCGUUGGGGACGGGGCGAUCUCAAUGGGAAAACGGAGAAAAAAACAAAAGGCCAAGACUUACUUUCCAAUCCAUGGACCCGAGCCUGGGGAUUUCGUCACGAAAAGCGCGUACGAAUAAAUAUCUACAUCUCCCUUUCGGUCCAUGGUUUGAAAAAGUCAGAGAUGGGAGCUUGUGGUGGGGGAUGGGAUAACUUGCAGCGUAAGUCGGUCUGGGUCAACCGUGUGUAGCAUGGCGAACUGUCGUGUACGGAAAGAGAGUUUCUAGAUGGUGAGGGGAGGGGAGGGGAUGGAUCGGUGGCCCAUCCAUCUCCGUAGAGCCCGCAUUCAUUGGGAGGAGAGUAGAGAAGACGCACGAGUCAAAUUGGAGAAUUCUCGUGCAGGAGAGGGGAGAAGAGGAGGGGUUCAUCAUAUGAUAAAUAUCUCAGCUCACCCAUCAUCCCAUCAUGGGAUUCUCUCAUCCCAUGCAACCGUUGAGACAUCAUCCCGACUAGUCUAUGCAAAGAAUUCCCCAAUUCUUAUGGCGGGUCUCUUCCUUUCUUCUGAUGGGACGGACGAAUCAAUCCACCCGCUUAUUAAAGGUUCAUGAAUGAACAUCGCCUUCCCUUCCCUUCUGUUAUCGGGGGCCUCAGGUUUCGCAAGCGUUAGUUAUUAGUAUAGCUUAAGGAUUCCUCGUUUUUUCUUUUCCAUCGGCGGUACAAGUUUUGAAGUUAUAUAUAGAAUACAAAAGUCUAAGAUGAGGAGAGAUAAUGGAUAGGCUUGGUGGGGGCAACGUCCAAUAUCUAAAAUGGAAUGGUCCCCCUAAAGGCCAACCGCCCACUCCCGGCCUAACACUGCCAGCCCAAACACUCUCCUUCUUUUAUCUUAUUCAUUCACCCAUUAGUAGUCCCUUCAAUUUUCCGUUUUCAGCUGGCACGUUUAUCAUUAAUACCAUUUCCUUAUGCACGGACUUUGGAUCCACCCGUGCUCACUCCCUUCUCCUGUCAAAUGAAAGGGCCGACGGGUAGCGGCCGUGAUCGGCAGCAUCUCUUUGGUUGUAAUGUUUAAUAGGUCAUUUAGAAUUUGUAUGUCUUGUCCCCAUAACGAGAUUAUUGAGAUUGUUUUAGGAUGCAUUUGGGAAUUGGCUUUCCCAAAGCUCUUUGGGCCUCUAAAGCCCUUGAUCAAAUGUAAAAAUGUUUGACAAUUUUUAUUUGGAAAGUUUGAAGAAAUGAUUUGCUUUUAUUAGGGAUAAUCGGUUUAUGGUCUAGUUUGAUAACCCCUUGUUGGUCCCGAGGGAUGGAGGAGGCUAAUUGGGAAUCGGGGACUAGAUCAAGAACCAUUUACUAUUUUUUUUCUUUUUCACAUUUCCAUCUCGAUAUCCAAUAACAAAUUUAGAGUUUGAGACAAAUUCUAUGCAUCAAUUUGUAUAUCUUAUUAUCUAAUCACAAGCUCCUAUUUCAUUGGAAAUAAUAAACUAAACCCACUAAUUUUUUUUAAGAAAUAAAAAUAAUAAAAAGUAUAUUUAAUUGAUUCGAUCUAGUUCUCUCUUAGAAUCGACAAUUGAACUACUAGGACACCAAAUUGAGAUGAGUCCGACGAUGGGUCGAGCAUCACCAGAGGACGCAAGAUGCGCCCAAAUGCACGGCCAGAAGCCGUUGGGCAUGGGCUCCACACGCCUAACACGCUGGGCACGCCAGCGCGUGAGCGUCAUGCAUGUGUUGGCAAAUUGACACGUGCUGACGUCACUAUGACGUCAUCCAACGGUUGUUAACCGCUAGAUGACGUUAUCAGCAACGUUAUCGAUGACGUCACCACCAACAAUAGUUGGCCGGCUGGUCGCUGAUCGGCGAGGCUGAACCAUGACCUGACUCGACUAUUGACCGGUCAAUGGUCUGACUGGCCAGGGACUAUCUGGCUCGCUAGCGCGUGUGGGCAUGUGUGAGCUCCGAUUAUAGUGUGGUUGGUGGCUUUUGGCUCGUAUGAAUAUUCUCUACACUGUGGUAUGACUAUUUUCUAUUUUUGAGUAUUUUAAAUGUAUAAAAAUGUGUAGGGAACCCUCUUACCAAAAAAAAAAUGUGUAGGGAAUCCUAAGUAUGCCUAUUUUUUGGGGUUUAAUGCGUCGUUUAUUCAUUUUAGCUUGUAUUUUUUUUUUAUUGUUUUGGAAAUACAAUAGCUUGCUUACAUAAAAAAUGAUAUCAUAUAUGUUGUGUAGAGCUUAGUUCGAUGAUAACAUGUAUAUAGUUUAGUAUACUUGCAAUUUUCUAGUUAUAAGAAAAUUCAAACAAUGGUAGGAAAUCCUUGUUUUUCCGUUACAUAUUAAAUUGCGGUUUUGAUUGUAGUUGCAACAUGAUUGUUUUUUGUAUGUUGGUUCACAUCAUGCUAUGCUUUUGUGUUAAUGAAAGAUGUAGAAAUUAAUGAGGUCAUGUAAUUAUUUUUUUUCCAGCGAGAGUUCGUAGGUUAGUAGAAUUCGAAGGAGUCCUCACCUAGAACUUAAAAUUUACGUAAAUUAAACUAAUUAAUGAUAAUAGAACAAUCGUAUAUAGGAGCUGAUUGGGAAUACAAUGAGCUUUCGUUUUUGUGUCUUUUGUUGAAUUAUCAUUAAUUUAGUUUGUUUUUGCUGCAAAUUAAAUGUAUGUUAUACUGAAAAGUGUCCUAGUAUUGAUUCUGCAUUUAUUAUGUCAAUGUGUUAUAGCAAUUUUUUUUUUUUGGCAUCCAAGACCAUUGUGGCUGACCUCAAUAAGGGUGAGAAGUUGAACGGUGACAAUUAUGAUAUUUGGCACCAAAAGUUCAGUACAUCAUUGAGGAGUAAGAAGUUUUGGAAACCCUCAACCACAUCAUGGAUGAACCUGAGUAUGGAACUUCAGUUCAACACAAGAGAGAUCUAGAAGUAUAUCAAGCUUGGAAAAAGAAAAAUAACAUUGCUCGCAUCACGUUGUUGAGCUGUAUGCAAGAUGAUCUCAUGUGUGAGUUUGAAAAUUAUAAUAAAACUCAAGCAAUGUGGGUUGCCUUGAAAGAUAAAUUUGGGGGUACAUCCGCUACUAAGUUGAGGAGACUUACCAUCAAAUUUGACACAUAUCAAAAGCGUCCAAAUGUAAUAAUGAGGUAGCAUCUUUGUGAUAUGUCAAAUAUAAUUCGUGAGUUGAAGUCAGCAGGUCACUCCCUUACUGAUGAGCAACAAUUUUAGACUGUUAUAAGGUAUCUUCCUGACAAUUUAGAGCAUAUGAAAAUCAAUAUGACACAUAAUGAGAAUAUUGUCACUUUUGAUGAUAUAACGCGUCAUUUGGAAUUAGAGGAUGAGCGCUUAGAGGCUACAAGAUCCUCUACCCAUGCUUAUGUUACUGAAUCAAGUUCGCACAAAGUUUCAGGCUUCAAGCGCAAAAGGAAUCGUGAAUUCAAUAAUAAGGGAAGAAGACUAAUUAAGCACCUAAGAGGGCUAAGACCUUCCAACGCAAGAAGCGUGGUAGGAAGAAGAACAAUGCCAAUAUGAAGUGCUACAAUUUUGACAAGAUGAGUCACUUUACUCGUAAAUGCACUGAACCGAAAAGAGGUACCCUAUUACUCCAUUACUUUAAGUAAUACUUUUGUUUCUAGCACUGUAAUACUUGUUGAAUCUCAUCCAAUGUGAACUGUAGACUCAGGAGCAACAGACCACGUAACUAGAGACCGAGAAGUAUUUGUGGAGUACCGUCGGAUAUAGCUUGAAAGAAGAUGGAUAUAUGUUGGGAAUAACUCAAAAAUUGAAGUGAAGGAUAUCGGCACAUGUAAAUUAAUUUUAUGUGGUGGUCGAAGCCUAUUCCUAUAUGAUGUCUUAUAUGCUUCAGAUAUUCGACGAAACUUGGUUUCUGUAGUUGUUCUUCUUAACAUAGUUUAUGUAUUGAAUUUCCAUGGUGAUUGUAUUGACAUUUUAUUUGGAACAGUUUAUUAUGGUACAUGUUAUGUAUUAAAUUGUUUUAUGGUGUUAGACAUUGACUAUGAUCAAUACAAUAUUAAUGUCGAUGGUUGUUUUUCUUUAAUUGCAUAUUCUAGUAAUGUUGAGAUUGAUGCAAGUACUUGGCAUGCUAGAUUAGGUCAUAUCGGGUUACAAAGAAUGCAAAAAUUACCUAGAGAAUGUCUUUUAGGAUCACUCAGUAAUAUUAAUCUACUCGUAUGUGAAUAUUAUCUAGCGGGAAAAGCAACUAGAAAACCAUUUGGUAAAGGAACUAGAGCUGCAUUUCCAUUGUAAUUCAUACAUUCUGACAUUUGUUGUCCUUUGAAUGUGAAGGCGAGGCAUUGAGCCUCAUAUUUCAUCACUUUCAUAGAUGACUUCACGCGUUUCGGUUAUGUCUUUCUGAUCUCUCAUAAGUCAGAAGCAUUAUACUGCUUUAGGCAAUAUAUAAUUAUAGUAGAGAACAGUUGAACAAAACAAUAAAGGCAUUGAGAACUAAUUGCAGACGUGAAUAUCUAUCGAAGCAAUUCAAGGCUCUUUGUGAUGAAAAGGGAAUUGUACAACAAUUGACUAUUCUUGGUACUCCACAACAAAAUGAGGUAGCUGAGAAAAGAAAUAGAACCAUAUUGAAAAUGAUUAGGUCUAUAAUAGCACAAGCAAAUUUACCUAUUUAUAAUUGGAGAGAUGCGUUAUUGACUACUACCUAUGUUUUUAACCGAGUGUCCUUGAAAUCAGUCAGUUCCACCCCUUAUGAAUUAUGGACUGGUAGGAAACCAGACUUAAAUAGUUUACGUCCAUGGGGAUGUGCAACUUAUGUUCAUGAUUCUUUCCACAAAUAUGGGCAAAUUAGGUCAUAGAGGGAAGAAAUGUAUAUUUAUAAAAUAUUAUGAACACUUCAAAUAGUACGUGUUCAUAAGUGAACAAGCUGAUGGAAGUAUGACCAAAAUGGAGUCACGAGAUGUUACGUUCUUAGAGAACGAUUUUCCUAGUAGAGGUGAGAUUGAUAAGGACUUCCAAUUAUAUAAGAUGAAUGAUCAUGAUAACAUACCUACUAAUUUUAUAGAGAGAAAUGAAGAUUUAUCUCAACAUAUAAGACCUAGUGGGAAUGUUGCAUCGCCUGACGAACUGAAUUUAAGAUAAAUUCAAUUACGUAAAAGUAAUCGUAAAAGUAUUCAUCGUCGUUGUUUUAAAAUUGAAGGGGAAGCAUUUAUAAUUGCUCAGAAAGACGAUGCUAAGCCUAAGACUAUUCAAGAGGCUCUCUCAUCAUCUGAUAAAGAAUAAUUGAUAAAAGCUUUGGAAGAUGAAAUUGAGUCAAUGAAUGGAUAAAAGCUUUGGAAAAUGGAAUUGAGUCAAUGGGGGCAAAUCACGUUUGGUACUUGUGUUUUUAAGAUUAAGCGAAGGGCGGAUGGAUCCAUUGAAAAGUAUAAGGCUCGUCUUAUGGCGAAAGAUUAUGCUCAACAAGAAAGUAUAGAAUAUGAGGAAACAUUUUCACCAGUUAUAAGGUUUGUCUUAAUACGCCUUAUCUUAGCCAUCAUUACACAUUUGGACCUUGAAUUACAUCAAAUGGAUGUAAAGACGGCAUUUCUCAAUGGAGAACUAUAUGGGGAAAUAUAUAUGAAGCAACCAAUAGGUUUCAUAGCUAAAGGUCAAUAGCAUAAAUUUUACAAGAUUCAUCGCUCAAUAUAUGGCCUUAAGCAAUUAUCUAGAUAGUUGUAUCUUUAUUUUCAUCGAGCCAUAACAAAUUUUGGUUUCACGAUGAUCGAAAAAGAUCACUGUGUAUAUAUCAAGCGGUCUGAAGAUAAAUUUGUGAUUUUAUCACUUUAUGUGGACGAUAUUCUAUUGGCUAGAAAUGACAAGGUUUUGAUUAUCACCAUAAAAGAAUGGUUGUCCUUUAAUUUUGAAAUGAAGGACAUGGGGAAAGCUACUUAUAUAUUAAAAGUUAAAAUUGAAAAAGAUCGAUCAAAGAAACUCCUUACUUUAUCACAAAAGUCUUAAUGAAGAUUCUUGAACGUUUCAAUAUGCAGCACUGUAAUCCCAUUGAUACUCUUGACAUGCAAUGUGAAGGCCUAAGUACUGAGAUGUGUCUUAAGACUUCAGAAGAAAAUAAAGUGAUGAAACUGUUCAUUACGCUAGUGCGAUCGGAAGUUUGAUGUAUGCUAUGAUGUGUAUUCGACCCGACAUAUGUUAUGCCGUGGGAUUGGUGAUCCAAUAUCAAUUAAAUUCCGAUCAAGCAUACUGGAAAGCAGUAAAGAGGAUCUUGAGAUACUUAAAAGACACUAAGACUAUUGACUUUGUUACCAAGGGAAUGAUUUAUGCUUAUUAGGCUAUUUAAAUGCUGAUUGUGGUGGAAACCUAGAUGAGUGUAAAUUGACUUCUAGAUAUGCGUUCUUGCUCAAUGGAAGUGCAAUUUCUUGGAAGUGCAUGGCCUUGUCUACUAUGAAGGCAAAAUUUAUUGCAUAUUCUGCUGCAGUACAAGAAGCAGUAUGACUAAAACGUUUCUUGAAAAAUUUAGCUACUGUUACUAAGAUUCCAAGAUCGGUGAUAGUUUAUUGCGAUAGUCAAGCAGCCAUUGCGUAUGUGAAAGAUCCCAAGUAUCAUGGAAGGAUGAAGCAUAUUAACAUAAAGAACAAAUUCAUAAGAGAUAUAAUAGCGCAUAAAAAAAUGAUGUACAAUAUAUUUCAACCAAUAGAAUGGUUGAUGAUCCAUUUACGAAUGUUGUUCCUAGAAACAUAUUUUUGACCCAUAAGAUGUCACUAGGAUUAUGUAGAAUAUGAUAUGUGUUAUUGUAGAGAAUCAUUGAUUUAUGUAUAUUUGAACAUAUGUAUUGUACUCGUUUGUUUAUUAGUGACUUGAUGUUUUAUCAAUAAGUACAAAUCCAUUAUAAGACUCGCACAUAUACACAUAUAUUAUUAAAAAGUAUGUCAGCAGGCAAUGAUUAGCUCACUCACAUGAGCAAUUAUCUUAAGUGCUAUAGUUAGCACAUUGAGAUGAUACGUUAUGUACAAAUGAAUGCUAUAGAGCAAGUUUAGUACAUAAAAUCAUAUGUCGCCUUGAUUGGAGUCAAGAUGAGGUCUGUGAUUUGUUCAUAAUAAGACCGAACAUAAUAGUUCCACAAUCAUGUAUACUUGAAAGAUGUUGGAUGCAAGUACUUAAUUGUACGCUAUAGAAAGUGAGUUGAUAUAGCAUUCGAGCUAAACAUGAGUACGUGAGAAGCACGUGACUAUGUUGAGGCUAAGAUCCGUAUAGUGGAUAUAUUUAAUAAAUGACAUACGCUCUUGUAGAAAGAGAAAUCCACUAUAGCAUGUAAUUUAUACUAUAUGUGCAUUGUACAACCGACAAGGGAAUGUGAGUAAAAUUAUCCCUAUUUACUCAUCUUGAGAGCCAUUGAGGUAAUUUAUAAUUUACCUCAUUUUGUUCUCCAUGUUACUUCUGACUAUGUUCUCAAAGUAAAAUAUCAAUGUUGCCACUUUAGCAUGUUAUCAGCAGUUAUGAAUAGAUAUGGCUUUAUGGGACGUGUCCAGGGAAGCAAUUGUUCUGAAAUGGAGAGAGACAUGAGUGCGAAGGAAGACUAUUGCUAUUUUACAUCUAUCACAUAUAUUUACUGGUCAACCAAUUAUAUCGCCUUAUGUGGUUGCAGAUAUAAUUGUAAAUACAUGGUGUUUUUUAGGAUAGUCAAGUAUAACUUUUAAAAGAUAGGUAUAUUUGGAUUGAUGUAACAAAAUUUGUUUGGGGUAUUGUGAGACAUUAAUUGUUUAUUUCUUUUUAGGGUUGUAGCCAUUAUGUCAUCCCUAACAGGUAAAUAAUUUGAGCUUCCAAGUACAGGUGUACUCAUUGGUCGCAUGGCUUACUUACCAGUGUGAAUUGUUUUGUAAAGUUGAUGAAUGUUGAAUGCCUUAUAUUCUUAACAGAGCACUAUCAAGCCCAUUAUAUCCGAGUGGGAGAUGUUGUAUUUAAUUAGUACGUCCAUGAUGGUUAAAAUGAGAACGCACCGUUAUGUCUUGAUACGCUACAAUGGAAAUAUAUCCGUUGAAAUGGUAUGAAGGAAGUUGUAUAAAAGUCUUUUGAAGAUAACCGUUAGUACGGUUGACAGAACAUAUGCUUAGAAAUUCCUCUCAUUUUUCUUUUCCCCUUUCCAUCAAAAGAAAAAGAAGGCGUUCCAUUUCUCAUUUACAAAAACAAUUGGCAUUUACGUUGUGGAAAUCAAUGUUUUCCUCGUGAUUGCAUUCAUACCAACGUGAAGUAAUUUUGUUCGUGGUUCAUCCGCAAUUCAACGAUCGUUCCGUGUAAAUUGUUGACUGCGCAUCAGAUAGAGGUAAGUCGUCUUCCACCGACUUUGGGAUAAGUACACUAAUGGUGCCAUAAGUUGUGUACAACGCUCACUUUGGUGCCAAAAGUUUCGUCGGAUCAUUUAAGUGCCAAAAAAUUUGAAAAACGCUCACUUUGGUGCCAACGCUGAUCUGAUCGGCCAGAAAUCUGAAGUGGCAUUUUUUUAUUAAUUUCUUAUGCUGAUGUGACUCGCCGGAGUUUCCAUUAGAUCACUUAGGCCUUCAAACGACGUCGUUUUAGCAUCCUAACAGCAAAACGACGCCGUUCUAUGUCUUUCCCCCAAAUACAAAACCCUAAAUCCCCAAACGACGUCAUUUUGUGUCGUCUUCUUCCCCAAGAAGAUUAGUCUUCUUCCCCGAACAGAUCCAGCAACACCAACAGCGUCGAACCAACAACACCAGCAGCGCAGAACCAGCAACACCAAUAAUUUUCCAGAAAAGAAACCACGCAUUCGCCUUUGCCUUCCCCUAGUAGUUUUCCCCCAUUUUCAAUCACCUUAUCAACUUUUCAAAUCCCCGAAUCUUAGCCCCACCACCACCUUCUCCUAAGGAAUAUCGUUGGUUGCAAAGGAAACACGAGCUCGAAGAAUCUCUAGAAGCACAAGCGAUCCGGCCAAUGGUAGCCGCGAAGAUUUGGAACGCCACGGAGGUUGUCAACGAAGCCAGCUGCUACAAAGGCGGCGGCCGUGGCCCCGUCAUCCCCUCCUUCGCCCUCAUCGUCGACACCUCCCUCUCUCUCAGGAUUUUCUGUUCAUUUUUUUUUCUUUUGUCUUGCUGUGGCAAGCAACUACAAUGGAGGUCAAGGGAUGGUGGCAGAGCAACGGUGGCCGAGGGACGGCGGCCAAGUGACGGUGGCCGAGGGAUGGCGGCUAAGCGACGGUGGACGAGCAAUGGCGGACAAAAAAACCCUAAUUUCAAUCUCCAAAUAAAAUAAAAUAAAACGACGUCGUUUUUGUGAGGCUAUCCACGUAGGACGGCAAAACGACGUCGUUUUUUUAAAGACGAAAAAUGUUGUUUAAAAGGCUUCUCGAUUUUUUUUUUAAAUAUAAAAGCUACAUAAUCAUUUUGGCCGGAAUUUGUCGUUGAUGGCACCAAAGUGAUCAUUUUUCCUCCGAUUUGGCACUUAAGUGAUCCGGCAGAAACUUUUGGCACCAAAGUGAGCGCCAUACACAACUUAUGGUACCAUUAGUAUACUUAUUCCACCGACUUCCUUCUAACAGUUACCAUCGAUAAUUGCGGGAUUUUUGUCAAAGUCAAGCGUCAAUAUCUUCAUGUCCUAUUUAAAGUUUCAUUUUGUCUCUAAACUUUGGUCAUGCUUUUUCUUUUCUUUACUUCCAACGUUUCACUAUGAGUCAGUCGUGUUGAUAGUAAGUUCGGAGGAAUUCCAUCCAUAAUCUUUCAUGUCACUCUAAUAAUGGAGGACAUUUGGUCAAUAUAUGAGAAGUGGUGAUUGUGGAUCAAGGAAGUUUCUCCGAAAUGUCACUUGCAUGCAUGCUGAGGUCUUAUGUAUAAGCUACCUCCCAAAACUUUUCAUACUAGUAAUGAUUAAAAAUUGUAGUACGCGUGCAUUGCAUGGAAAUGGUCCGAAUUUUUGUGUUAAAUUAAUUUUAAUCAUUACAAAAAAUCUAAACAUUAGUAUCACAAAAAAUCCAAAAACGAUACAUUUAUGCUAAAUUAAUUUUUGUAUUACAAAAAAGCUUAAAUUAAUAUAUUCAUAUCAUAUUUAUCCCAAAUUGACUUUUAUAUAACAAAAAAUCAAAGAUUGGUAAUUUGGGAUAAAUUUGGUAUGAAUGUAUCAAUUUGAAAUUUUUUGUGACAUGAAAACACAUUUUAGAUAAAUGUAAUGAAUUUGGAAUUUUCGUGACAUGAGAGUAAAUGUGAGCGAAGAAAAAAAAACAGAUUCUAUUGUCCGGUUGAGAUGUCAUCCCAUGUAUUGAAGCGUACAUAUAUAAUUGAAAGAUUAAAUGUUAUUUUAUUAUUAUUAUUUUUCCGCGAAAGCUUUUGGGUCAAAAGCAGCUCCACACCCAACCCUCUCAGCGCCCGAACGCUUAUGCGUCGAGCAAGAUCCGAACAACAACCACCACCAUCUUCCUCGGCCUGAAAAAUGCCCCAAAUCCUCGAGCACUAAACCCUAAUUCCACUAGCCCCUGCCAACCACCGUCGCCGAGAUACUGACCAGAUUUUCCCUCCCGGUGGUGCAUCACCAGCCCGACCCCUCGUCGUCACCCUCAACAGCACCGGUCGAGCACGUCCCCCUCAGCCACCACACCAUGGACUCCGCCUCCGCUAUCCUCCUCCGCUCCCUCGCCUUCCUCCCCCGCACCGCCUCCGCCCCUACCAGCUCGUCCUCUGCCGACCGCGCCAUCGACUCCGCCCUCGCUGCCGAGCCGGGGCUACGCCUCGUCCACGUGGACUCCUCUCGAGCUGAGGAGAUCGCUGAAGAGAUCGCUGAAGAGAAGCCCGGGGCGACAAGGAGGAGGAGCUCUCGAGGCGGAGAGAGAUGAGCGAGAAGGCAGAGAAGAGGGAGAAGGCUUCGUCUCAGAACGCGGGGAAAAAGAAAAUGAUUUCCAUCCAUUUUCUCAUAUUUUGAAGGGUUUUUCCCGGUUGACGGAAAUUAUUUUCUUGAUCCGUUCAUUCUCUUUGAGCCAAACAGCGGAAAAUUUGGUUGACGAAACAAACCAAGCCUUAAUCAUGAAUCCACGUCCAUAAACCGUAAUUUUGUUGUGCUAGUGGGGCAUUACCGACUAUCUAAUUCUCUCAUAAUAGUAUUCAAUUUGCCUAGCUUGCAAAAUUUUCUAGAGGCAACUCCAUGGUAUAUUCAAAUUGAGGCUCCGUUUGGUUUGGCUUUCCCAAGGGAAGCCCCUUGGGGAAAAUUUUUUGCGUUUGGUUCACUUUUUUGACUCUUCAUUUGUAAAAUGCUAGCAUUUGAAAUGCUGAUAGUCUAACCAAAGUAGGUCCGAACCUAGUUUGAGCUUUUAGCAUUUUCAGAAUACUAGUUUAAGGAUUAAUGAUUUUUUUUUUUUAAAUAUUGCCCUUACUGAUAAUCAUAUUUUUCCCUAGUGCUCUCUUUCUCUACUGUUCAUCGUCUUCUUCAAGUCCAACGCAAAGCUCAGCCGGUGGCCGACGCUCAGCCACGAGCGGCCAAAUCUGGCUGUUGGGAAGCCUGGCUUGAGGUCAGGCGACCUUGAGCGUCGCUUGGGUUGUGUGACUCAGGCAACGCCGCUUGAGGUCGCGCCUAAGGUCAAGCGACCCAGGGCGUCACCUGAGGUCGUGGACCUCAGGACCUCAAGCGAGCCACCUCUUCGCCAUCGCCACCACCACCAGCCGCCUUCGCACCACCACUAGCGCCAUCGCCACCAGCCACUCCCCCACGAUUUUCAACUGCAUCUCCCCCUUCCUUUUCUUUUCUUUUCUUUUUUUCCUUUUUCUUUUCGCCUCAGAGCUACUUUGCAAAAUAUACACAAAAAAUUGAGUUUCCAAACAUACUUGCCUUUACAAAAUGCCUAUUCACUAAAAGAUACUUGAGAAAAUGGCUUUGCAUUUCCCCAAAGUUGAACCAAAUGGGGCUUAAAUACAAUACCCUAUAAUGGGCAUUCAAUUUUGUUUUGUUUUUGUUUGUUUGUUUUUCUUUUUCUUUUUUUGGAGUCCCGAAAGAAGUUAACCGUAAUGGCUUUAAGAAUCUCUCGAGAAAACCAUAUCGAGGGUUUAAAAUGUCGGUACUUUCAACCCCAAGCCACAUACGUCGGAUCCCUCCCUUUCAACAGAUGCAUGGAAGCCGAUCCAUCUAUAAGGACAGUAAUCUAGUAAAAGCAGUGAUCGCCAGUAAUUUGGUCCACAAAUUCAAUCCUUUCUGAGCCCAUGGCAUGGUAGAACUAGAAUGACAAACAGAGAUAGAACCGGUUGUACCAGGAUGUGUGCAUUACACCAACAAGCAAGCAUAGUGUUCAUACUUUGAUUUAGAAACUCAUAAUACACAUGACUCACCUCAAGCUAUUGAGAUAAGCUAUUGAGAUAAAUAGCAUUCAUACUUCGAUUUGGAAAUUCAUAAUAAACACUAAAGCUAUUGAGAUAAAUAGUAAGUCUCCGUGGCCAAUGCCCUGAAUGUCAAAUCCCAAAAGGUUGUCCGGGAGCAAGUAGUGCUUGAUCAGCAGCCACAAGAUUCAGGCCCUCAAAGAACUGUUCCCAACCAUACUUGUCGUCUUCGGUAUCUAAAGAGCAAUACAGAUAAUAUUAGAAUGUGACCACACUUCACACGCCAUGAUUGCUAAUUUCUCAUGACCAUAGAUGAAUAUUUAGUGAACGUUAUAGUACUAAUGAGGCUAUCACUAUGUCCACUGCACGUUUCCCGAGAUGUUAGAUGCAUUGGUCAUGGAAAUUACAUUUCGAUCAGUCCUUACCAUCAGAUAAGUGAGAUAAUGCAACUGUUGCAGAGAAAUAAUCACAAAGUAAUAUCUUAUAAAACACCUACAUAACUCUCUUUUGUAUGCAGUUACAACAUUUGGUAAGUUGACUAGACCCAAUCAAACCCCUAAACAGAGCUUACCAGCGUGACAAAAUUGAGUCAAGUAUUAGACUUGAGAUGCCAAAUGAUUUAGCCUUUCAAAUUCAGCCCGCUUCACUUUUACCUGUUUAGUUCCCAAAUGGGAUUGAUAAUAGAGAUAUCACAAAAAUAUCCCUCUUUUAAACUCAUUAAAUGGGUUCCUAAUGUGGUCAGGUGUUGAGUGUUUUUUUGGCACUCUCUAUGGUUGGUCUUUGUGCAUUUCUGGGCAAAAAAAAGAAGGAAAAAGGACAAAAUUGCGUUCCUUAAGGAGAAGAACUGAGCUGAUGCAAUUCCUACUCUUCCUUACACAAGCGUGAAUCUGUCCGAUGAAAUAGGAUGAUAACCCUAGACCAAAGCUGAAGACAUGAUAACAAUCUACUUUUGUUCCAGCAAGUUAUAUUCGCACCACAUAUAUCAUCACAGUGAAAAUUCAUUCUGCAUAUCUUUAGUGUGGAAGUCCCAAUCUUUCUUCUCAAUUUUUCCACAGGACAGGAAAAACAAUAUUAUGCCGCGAAGAAAUUGACUUUGGAUGGAGAAAUUUCAACGUACUUAAAGCUGGGAAGCCUGAUGUUGACCCGUAUCCUAAUGGCUGAACAUUUGUAUCUGCCGAAGGCUCCAUUUGGUUCAACGUGGCAUUUUGGGGAUUGAGACUUUGUGAUUGUAUUAGCAAUUGAGCAGCAGUAAUGCCCCGAUUUCCUGGAGAGAGAUUAAAAAUAAAUUAGUAUCCGAUUGAUGAAGCCCAUAAUAGAAAUGUGGCAAGCCAGGAAAGGCAAGUCUCCUAGGUGUGGGAUCAACGUGGAGUCCAUAAGUUCCUAAUGUUGUGAUUUAUACAGACAGUUCAGCUAAAUAGAUUUAGGUCCCAAAACCCAUCUGAAGAACUAAUAAUUAGGGCAUUGCAAUCACAUACUUCAUGAGAAACGAGAAUAGACAACAAUGCUCCUCCCUCGUAAAAUAUUUCAUCAUAUUCUUGACUGACUGUAUGCUUCUUAUGGAACAGUUGAUUUUAACCACCUCCAAACCCAUAUCAUUGGAAGCCAGUAUAUUUCCCUCCCAAAGAUGUACGCUACUGUGAAAGGUUUUAGUUGCAACGUGUCACUUUGAUGAUCUAAAAAGAAAAAAAGUGGCUACAUCUCAGCUAGUGUUUAAUUAUAGGCAACUUUUUCUUUUCCUCACAGCCAAUUAGAGCACAUACCUUCCACUGUGGAUGCUGAAGUUCUAGGAGAUACUUUCAAACCAACAUGACUGCCCAAUCUCGGUGGAGGCGUAUUGUUGUGAGCUGGAUGGAGGCAUUGUUGAUCUCCUAGAACUUCACACAGAAAAGAACAUGAGAUCUUCUCCGACAUGGAACUUGAAGAAGCCUCAGCUUCAUAUGGUGUGACAUCUUUCCAAUUCUCAUAGGCCUUUUUCACCAAUUUAUCUGCACAGACCUGGAAGACUUGAAAGUUACUACUUCCUCAAGCAGUCGGUUUAUCAGGGUUAUCUUACACCCUAGGUGACUCAAAUAAUUCAGGCUGGACUCAUAUGGAUAUCAAAGGCAAUAAGACGUGUCUAAUAUGUUCCCUUUUUUUCUCAGACAGAUCAAACAAGGUAGGAAGAUGCAAAGUUGGUGUUCACAGAAUUUGAUGAAAGCAACAAAAAGCAUCUUGACUUGAAAGUACCAUAACAUGGUGAAUGAGUAAAAAACUUAGAACUCUGUAUGAGCAUACAGUGCUCCUAAUCUGCUAAAUGCACUCCUCAUGUUGGGGACAGUGGUUGUGGUCCCACAGAGGGUGCUUCUGGUGAUGUCUUCUCAAGGGGUGAGAGUAAAAGAAGAGGGCAGCCUUUGGAGGAGUUUGAAUUGGAUGUGGAUGGAGAUUCAUUGGUCUUGGUGCUGAUGGGGUUGAUGAGGCAAGAUUCUCUUUUUAUCAGUUCCAUUGUUGAAUCGUUUUGAGGUAAACAGUGAGGAGGAUGUCUCCUUUUGGGUACUUAACAAUAUCAAGGCUGUUGGCCAGAUCCUUGGAGUCUCCUUGUGAGCAUUCCAAGAUACAGCCAUGAGUCUUUUCGAGGAGCUUGAGAAUGGAAAUGAUGGCCCUGAGCAUUUUAAGUCCUUGAAAAAAAAUUAACGAAUUGAAACGCUUUCAGUGAUCCACCAAUAAUGAUAGAACUCCCGACAGAAAAAGGAGGUUGUGAGUGGUAGCAGUGGAAAGGUUUCUUCGUUGUUUAUAUAAAGGUCAAUAUUAGGUCUUGGAUUGUCAGGGGGCUGAAUGAUGGAGACGAGAAUGGUGAUAAAAAAUUUUAGUGGAGACGGGACAUAGUGUCAUUAGGAGACUAAAAUGGAAGAUUGUCAGCUGGAUGUUGCCAGGAAAACUCUAUUCUGAGACUUCGGUAUAAUGGAAAGUUAUAUGUGCAUGUAAAUGCUUUAAACGACAUUGUAGAUGAUUUGUAUUGUAAAUGAGCUCUUUUGGGGCUAAGCUUUUCUCUACAUGGCUUUGCCCCCCUUUUGUGCCCUUUUCUUUUACCUAUAAAAAAAAGUAGAAAAUUAUCAUCAGAGAAACU